GAAUUGUUUGUCCCCUUUUUGCACAAAACUUGUCUCUACAUCUGCUUACCUGCAUGUGUUCUGUUGUUGAAAGAGAAAGAUUUUCCCGUUCUAGCUUCAAGGCGCACGAAAAUCUUCAAAGACCAGAGAAAAUCGGUCCUUUUUGAGCAAAAUUUGAAGCAAAUCACGUGAAGAAACCUCAACGUUCAGAUUAGCACGAGUUUUUGACUCAACUUUGAAUUUUUGUUUCAAAUUCCCGCCCAAUGAAACCCCAGCUGUUUCUACCCCUAUAAAUGCUUGCUUCGAGUUUCGUUUUACGAAGGUUUUUUUUUUGGAGCCGUCAUCCCUUACGCAAAACUACCAUUGUUUGGUUAUGGUUGGUUGGUUCCCUGUUUGUUAAAGUUUAUUAUAUACAAUUUGUGUUGCGAGGAGUCUCAAAUGAGACUCAAUUUCGCCGCUAGAUCAAAAUGAUUUCAUCGCUCCACUUUGUGUUUCUAGUUUACCAAACUCGGCUGAAACGAAUUCCAGUGACGAUCGGGAUUAAAUCUCUCUAUUCGGGUCUCUCUUUCUCCCCUCGGAAAACAACUAGGGCCGAAGCAAUACAAAGGGGGGAGAAAAUGAGAAAGCCUGCUACAUUUUAAGCAAAAUCUUAUGUUUUGCUUGAUUUAUUUGUGUUCAUGUGUGAUUACUUAGCUACCUUAGAAUACUUAAUUUAGUGGGGCUAAUUGGGACGUUAUUUUGAUAUAAUAAUAGAAAUGUUUUAAUU